GAAUGCGAUAAGUAGUGUGAAUUGCAGAAUUCAGUGAAUCAUCGAAUCUUUGAACGCACAUUGCGCUUCCUGGUAUUCCGGGGAGCAUGCCCGUUUCAGA
rnacentral:rRNA from 1 species